UUGAAAGGGAUUGAAAAGCUGGAGCGAUGCGGGGAAGUGACGGGGACUGGAGAAAAUCGCCGGCAGGAGUCUCGGGAGCUGGCUCCGGUGAGCGCAGCGCAGCACAAAGGGGGUGGACGGAGGCUGGCUUGACCAUGGGGCAUAAGCACCUUGGCUGGGAGAACCCCACGGGCCCUGUAAGGGAGGAGGUGAAACCAGCCCCUGGCCGGGAGCUGAACCAGGCACACAGGAGAGGUCAGGCAAAUUGUUCCCACCCAGGAGUCACUACGUGGCCUGCAUGGCAGCCAUCCUGAACCAGAUGGACGAGGCCCAUUACAGCUCCUACAUCCAGGCCUUCUCAGCCCGGACCGACCUGAUGGACUUUCUCAUGGAGACCUUCAUCCUGUUCAAGGACCUGAUCGGCAAGACGGUGUAUCCCUCCGACUGGAUGGUGAUGAACAU